rnacentral:rRNA from 1 species
AAUUGCUAGUAAUGGCAGGUCAGCAUACUGCCGUGAAUACGUUCCCGGGCCUUGUACACACCGCCCGUCACACCAUGAGAGUUGGGAAUACCCGAAGCCUGUGAGCUAACUAUUAAAGAGGCAGCAGUCGAAGGUAGAAUCAAUGAUUGGGGUGAAGUCGUAACAAGGUAGC